CGCAAGGGCAACCAGCUGUUCGAGAUCGCCUGCUUCCCCAACAAGAUAUUGGAAAACGUCAAGCUCCAAUUUUGUAGCAAGGAAAGGGAGGCGCAGCUGUCCUAAUGCACCAGAUGCACUUCGCGGUAUAUAACCUUACUUCCAAGGAACAGGCACUCAUAACCAUCCACGGAGGCGGAGGCCAUGGAGUAGCAGACCAUCCACCACACGAUCGAAGAUGACUGCGCCGAAGAACAGGGAUGCUGAGUUCGUCAAGAUCGACCAUGCUACCCUCUUCGACCUCAUCCUGGCUGACCAGAAUUUCCAGGAGACGAUGGUGAAGAUGUUCUUGCUGUAGUUGGUUGAUGCCACCUAUGGCAAGAUCAGCGGGAUGGUCUCCAU